AACGAACGCUGGCGGCAGGCUUAACACAUGCAAGUCGAACGAGAUCUUCGGAUCUAGUGGCAGACGGGUGAGGAACACGUGGGAACAUCCCUUUCAGUUCGGAAUAACGUUGGGAAACUAACGCUAAUACCGGAUACGUCCUUCGGGAGAAAGAUUUAUCGCUGAAAGAUUGGCCCGCGUCUGAUUAGCUAGUUGGUGAGGUAACGGCUCACCAAGGUUACGAUCAGUAGCUGAUCUGAGAGGAUGAUCAGCCACAUUGGGACUGAGACACGGCCCAAACUCCUACGGGAGGCAGCAGUGGGGAAUAUUGGACAAUGGGCGAAAGCCUGAUCCAGCCAUGCCGCGUGGGUGAUGACGGCCUCCGGGUUGUAAAGCUCUUUUGUCCGGGAAGAUAAUGACUGUACCGGAAGAAUAAGCCCCGGCUAACUACGUGCCAGCAGCCGCGGUAA
rnacentral:rRNA from 1 species